UCCGGUUUGUCACCGGCAGUCUCACUAGAGUGCCCGUUACCGUAGCAACUAAGGACAAGGGUUGCGCUCGUUGCGGGACUUAACCCAACAUGUCACCACACGAGCUGACGACAGCCAUGCAGCACCUGUCAUCUGGUCGUAUUGCUACGAAAACCGUAUCUCUACGGCGGUCCAGAGAUGUCAAACCCAGGUAAGGUUCUUCGCGUUGCUUCGAAUUAAACCACAUGAUCCACCGCUUGUGCGGGCCCCCGUCAAUUCCUUUGAGUUUCAACCUUGCGGUCGUACUCCCCAGGCGGGGUACUUCCUGCGUUAGCGCCGGCACCCAGAGGGUCGCUCCCCCAGGCACCUAGUACCCAUCGUUUACGGCGUGGACUAC
rnacentral:misc_RNA from 1 species